CAGAUGAUAUAUCUGUAGAGCUUUUGUUAGAAAAUAUAUUCCAAAGCCAAUCGUUAGCCUGUUAACAGUUGUGCUCAUAUAUAUAAUUAUAUAUGAAUUAUUUAUUAAUAAGAGUUAUUUGAUAUUUUUUAUCACAAAGUUUAUAUCUUUUUGUUUGAACUCCUAUGUUAUGAUGAAGUCUUUAGGACUAUUUUAAAUCGUUAAAGAAAGAUUUAUCA
rnacentral:lncRNA from 1 species